rnacentral:rRNA from 1 species
UACAGAGGGGGCAAGCGUUGUUCGGAAUUACUGGGCGUAAAGGGCGCGUAGGCGGCCUUCUAAGUCGAACGUGAAAUCCCCGGGCUCAACCCGGGAACUGCGUCCGAUACUGGAAGGCUUGAAUCCGGGAGAGGGAUGCGGAAUUCCAGGUGUAGCGGUGAAAUGCGUAGAUAUCAGGAGGAACACCGGUGGCGAAGGCGGAUCUCUGGGCCAUUACUGACGCUGAGGAGCGAAAGCGUGGGGAGCGAACAGG